GAUGAACGCUGGCGGCGUGCCUAAUACAUGCAAGUCGAGCGAACAGACGAGGAGCUUGCUCCUCUGACGUUAGCGGCGGACGGGUGAGUAACACGUGGAUAACCUACCUAUAAGACUGGGAUAACUUCGGGAAACCGGAGCUAAUACCGGAUAAUAUAUUGAACCGCAUGGUUCAAUAGUGAAAGACGGUUUUGCUGUCACUUAUAUAUGGAUCCGCGCCGCAUUAGCUAGUUUGUAAGGUAACGGCUUACCAAGGCGACGAUGCGUAGCCGACCUGAGAGGGUGAUCGGCGACACUGGAACUGAGACAGGGUCCAGACUCCUAAGGGAGGCAGCAGUAGGGAAUCUUCCGCAAUGGGCGAAAGCCUGACGGAGCAACGCCGCGUGAGUGAUGAAGGUCUUCGGAUCGUAAAACUCUGUUAUUAGGGAAGAACAAAUGUGUAAGUAACUAUGCACGUAUUGACGGUACCGAAUCAGAAAGCCACGGCUAACUACGUG
rnacentral:rRNA from 1 species